rnacentral:rRNA from 1 species
CGGGUAGCCGGCCUGAGAGGGUGACCGGCCACACUGGGACUGAGACACGGCCCAGACUCCUACGGGAGGCAGCAGUGGGGAAUAUUGCACAAUGGGCGCAAGCCUGAUGCAGCAACGCCGCGUGAGGGAUGACGGCCUUCGGGUUGUAAACCUCUUUUAGUAGGGAAGAAGCCUUCGGGUGACGGUACCUGCAGAAAAAGCACCGGCUAACUACGUGCCAGCAGCCGCGGUAAUACGUAGGGUGCAAGCGUUGUCCGGAAUUAUUGGGCGUAAAGAGCUCGUAGGCGGCUUGUCGCGUCUGCUGUGAAAACCCGAGGCUCAACCUCGGGCCUGCAGUGGGUACGGGCAAGCUAGAGUGCGGUAGGGGAGAUUGGAAUUCCUGGUGUAGCGGUGGAAUGCGCAGAUAUCAGGAGGAACACCGAUGGCGAAGGCAGAUCUCUGGGCCGUAACUGACGCUGAGGAGCGAAAGCAUGGGGAGCGAACAGGAUUAGAUACCCUGGUAGUCCAUGCCGUAAACGUUGGGAACUAGAUGUAGGGCCUGUUCCACGGGUUCUGUGUCGUAGCUAACGCAUUAAGUUCCCCGCCUGGGGGAGUACGG